AGAGCGAACGCUGGCGGCAGGCCUAACACAUGCAAGUCGAGCGCCCGUAGCAAUACGGGAGCGGCAGACGGGAUAGUAACACGUGGGAACGCGCCCUUCGGUUCGGAAUAACUCAGGGAAACUUGAGCUAAUACCGAAUACGCCCUUACGGGGAAAGAUUAUUGCCGAAGGAACGGCCCGCGUCCGAUUAGCUAGUUGGUGAGGUAAUGGCUCACCAAGGCUACGAUCGGUAGCUGGUCUGAGAGGAUGACCAGCAUCACUGGGACUGAGACACGGCCCAGACUCCUACGGGAGGCAGCAGUGGGGAAUAUUGGACAAUGGGCGCAAGCCUGAUCCAGCCAUGCCGCGUGGAUGAUGAAGGCCUUAGGGUUGUAAAGUCCUUUUAACGGGGAAGAUAAUGACGGUACCCGUAGAAUAAGCCCGGCUAACUUCGCGCCAACAGCCGC
rnacentral:rRNA from 1 species